rnacentral:rRNA from 1 species
UACGGAGGGUGCAAGCGUUGUCCGGAUUCAUUGGGUUUAAAGGGUGCGCAGGCGGGAGAUUAAGUCAGGGGUGAAAGACGGUUGCUCAACAAUCGCAGUGCCCUUGAUACUGGUUUUCUUGGGUGACCUUGAGGUAGGCGGAAUGGGUGGUGUAGCGGUGAAAUGCAUAGAUACCACCCAGAACUCCGAUUGCGAAGGCAGCCUACUGGAGGUUAACCGACGCUCAGGCACGAAAGCGUGGGGAUCAAACAGG